AAGUCGUAACAAGGUCUCCGUAGGUGAACCUGCGGAGGGAUCAUUAACACGUGCAUCUCAUAGUAUACAGCAAUGUUUGCUAUGAGAACGUUCUAAUACCAAACCAACCGUGUCAUUCGACUGCUUGCAGUCAUCCUCCCUAUGCGUUUCGUUAAAACCGGAAUUAUGUCACCAUAUAGUAUGGACUAUGUAUAUAUGUGAUGGUUGAUAGUAUACUUUAUGUAUGCUAUUUACAUAUAUGUAGUCGAGUACGAUGUGAUUCUUCGAAACAAGUAGGACAAUUUUUUCGCAUCACGAAAAAACACACACACCUAUAUCACCCUAACCUUAUAACUAUAGACUGAUACUGAUCGAUUUUUUUAAUUAAAGAUAGAUCAAUCUCGAUAUCAUCGAACUAAAAGCACAACUCUUAGCAACGGAUAUCUUGGUUCUC
rnacentral:misc_RNA from 1 species